UACGUAGGGUGCAAGCGUUGUCCGGAAUUAUUGGGCGUAAAGAGUUCGUAGGCGGUUUGUCGCGUCCGUUGUGAAAACUCGAGGCUCAACCUCGAGACGCCGAUGGAAACCCCCUAACUAGAGUCCGGAAGAGGAGAGUGGAAUUCCUGGUGUAGCGGUGAAAUGCGCAGAUAUCAGGAAGAACACCCGUGGCUAAGGCGGCUCUCUAGUACGGUACUGACGCUGAGACGCGAAAGCGUGGGGAGCGAACAGG
rnacentral:rRNA from 1 species